AUCGAGAACUCCACUAUGCGCCCGCCGCCCAGCCAGACUCAACCCAACCCCCUUCCCAAACUCAUUCUUCCCCCUCCAAGAUGGAGGCUUUGGGGUGCUACCCGACCAAGCCAUCAAACCCGAGAGCCCGAAUGGUCAGGGUUCUACUGAGUAUGACGGUGUGCAUGGGAUGUUUAUUAAUGCUACAUAGUUUUCUCAAAAUCUCCAAGUCCAGGAAGCCGCAAGAUUUCUAUUCUUUUGAGGUGAAGGACGCCAAAGGGAGAAGCGUUUCUUUGGAGAAAUACCGAGGCAAAGCGUCUCUGGUUGUCAACGUGGCGAGCCACAGCGAACACACUGAGAAGAACUAUCGCUCUCUGCAGGAGCUGCACCGGGAAUUGGGUACUUCCCAUUUCAACGUCCUGGCUUUCCCCUGCGGCCAGUUCGGGGACACGGAGAUGGGGGCCAGCCGGGACAUCGAGGCCUACGCCAAGAACACCUACGGCGUCACCUUCACCAUCUUCAGUAAGGUCAAAAUCAUGGGGUCGGAGGCAGAGCCAGCCUUCAAAUUCAUAACAGAUUCUGUGAAGAAGGUUCCGAAGUGGAACUUCUGGAAGUUCCUGGUGAACCCUGAAGGCCAGGUGGUGAGAUACUGGAAGGCAGAGGAGCCCGCCGAGAGCGUGCGUAAGGAGGCCAUGACCAUGGUACGUCAGAUUAUUCUCAAGAAAAGGACAGAGCUCUGACGGGAUGGUGGGCUCAGAGAUGGUGAGGAGUGGAGUAAGGACACCCUCUGAAGUUUCCAGAGUUUGAAUGAAACGUUAUGAGGUAUUAAUUAAGAUACAAACUCAACUCUGUUGUUAGGUGCUGAGUGGGACUUUAGGCCAUUCUUUUCUGAAGAUGGUGAAGACUGAAGAUGAUGACAAAGAUGAUGAACUAUUGCAAUAAGAGAUGAAAGGGUGUGUUGUGUGUUUUAAUGGCCCUACUGCCAUGAAUAUAAUAGUGUUAUUCCACUAAGAGGGGCACAAUUACAUUCCCUGACAACCACCAGGUUCAUAGUGAAUUCCCUGACAACCACCAGGUCCAUAGUGAAUUCCCUGACAACCACCAGGUCCAUAGUGAAUUCCCUGACAACCACCAGGUCCAUAGUGAUUGGGAUAUUCAAGAGGAAACCAUUGGAAGGAUUUCUUAAGAACAUCAUUUCCCAUAUUAUGGCUUACUAAACCAGUACAAUAACCUCAAAGAACCACUAUUAUGUGUAACUUAGAUUUGUCUGAUUUAAAGCAAGUUGUUACUCGUUUUGUCAUAGCCGUUGUCAGAUUAAAAAACUGUCCUUUAAACAUGUAAAUCCACGUUUACAGUAAUGUAGAACAAUCAUUCUGGCCUUAAACUUGUUAAUCCACGUUUACAGUAAUGUAGAACAAUCAUUUAAUGUAAAACAUCUCUACCGGUACUGGAUUUAUUGAUAAAUGUUCACAAAUGUUGGAUUUCAAAUAA